rnacentral:rRNA from 1 species
AUGGCUUCAGGUGCAGCCGCUCUUACUCUGAGGCUGGCCGCCGUCGCUGCUGUCCUCGCCCUGCUGGUCAUACCCUCCUUGGCAGACUGUCCGUCCCUUGGUCCGGCACCACCACCACCAGCGCAGGCGCCACCGCCACCGCCGGAGGCGAUGCCACCACCACUACCGGCGCAGGCGCCGCCACCCCCACUAGAGGCGAUACCACCACCACCACCGGCACAGGCGCCACCGCCACCACCGGAGGCGAUACCACCACCACCACCGGCACAGGCUCCAUCGCCACCACCGGAGGCGAUACCACCACCACCACCGGCACAGGCGUCAACGCCACCACCGGAGGCGAUACCGCCAGCGCCCGUGCCGGAUCCACCUCGGCCAUGCAACAUCUGUAGCAGAGAGUGCUACCCGGCGUGCACAGAGGCCAUAGCCUCUCUGCCGGAGUCGAGGGCAUGCGACGAGAAAUGCUUCAACGAGAAGAGGCGCUGCGACCAGUGCAGAACCCCCAAGAUCGAGGAGUGCAAGGCCAAUUGCAGCGGCAGCUGUGACUGCCUCACCCAAUCCUACAAGUCAUGCAGCGACGACUGCCUCUUCCCAGAAUGUAGCCCCUGCGCGACCACCCGUCAACAUCAGUAUAAGUAUUGCAGGUACCAGUGCAACAUCGACUACUGCAACGGCAAUAAGUGCUGGUGA